GACGAACGCUGGCGGCGUGCUUAACACAUGCAAGUGGGGCGACGAACCAGGCUUCGGCCUGGGGCAAAGCCGCGGACGGGUGAGUAACACGUGGGUAACCUGCCCCGAAGACCGGGACAACCCGGGGAAACCCGGGCUAAUACCGGAUGUGGUCAUCGUUCAUAAGGACGAUGAGCAAAGGAAGCUUCGGCCUCCGCUUCGGGAUGGGCCCGCGGCCCAUUAGCUUGUUGGUGAGGUAACGGCUCACCAAGGCUUCAUGGGUAGCUGGUCUGAGAGGACGAUCAGCCACACUGGGACUGAGACACGGCCCAGACUCCUACGGGAGGCAGCAGUGGGGAAUCUUGCGCAAUGCGCGAAAGCGUGACGCAGCAACGCCGCGUGGGGGAAGACGGCCUUCGGUUC
rnacentral:rRNA from 1 species